GAUGAACGCUAGCUACAGGCUUAACACAUGCAAGUCGAGGGGUAACGAGAGGAAAGCUUGCUUUCCUUGUCGACGACCGGCGCACGGGUGAGUAACGCGUAUCCAACCUGCCCCCAACUAGGGAAUAACCUUGCGAAAGUAAGACUAAUACCCUAUAAUUUCCUCAGAUGUCAUCUGACGAGGAAUAAAGAUUUAUCGGUUGUGGAUGGGGAUGCGUCUGAUUAGCUUGUUGGCGGGGUAACGGCCCACCAAGGCAACGAUCAGUAGGGGUUCUGAGAGGAAGGUCCCCCACAUUGGAACUGAGACGCGGUCCAAACUCCUACGGGAGGCAGCAGUGAGGAAUAUUGGUCAAUGGGCGGAAGCCUGAACCAGCCAAGUAGCGUGCAGGAUGACGGCCCUAUGGGCUGUAAACUGCUUUUAUACAGGAAUAAAGUUAGCCACGUGUGGUUAUUUGUAGGUACUGUAUGAAUAAGGACCGGCUAAUUCCGUGCCAGCAGCCGCCGUAA
rnacentral:rRNA from 1 species